rnacentral:rRNA from 1 species
CAGCAGUAGCCGCGGGAACACGUAGGUGGCAAGCGUUGUCCGGAAUUAUUGGGCGUAAAGCGCGCGUAGGCGGUUUUUUGAGUCUGAUGUGAAAGCCCACGGCUCAACCGUGGAGGGUCAUUGGAAACUGGAAAGCUUGAGUGCAGAAGAGGAAAGUGGAAUUCCAUGUGUAGCGGUGAAAUGCGCAGAGAUAUGGAGGAACACCAGUGGCGAAGGCGACUUUCUGGUCUGUAACUGACGCUGAUGUGCGAAAGCGUGGGGAUCAAACAGGAUUAGAUACCCGUGUAGUCCCUGUCUCUUAUAC